ensembl:lncRNA
GGAGGCUUUCGUGCAGGGGAACAAGUGGUGUAAGUGACGCUGUCCAGUUGUGGGUCUAACUUUCCUUCCGUCCCCAUCCGAGUUCAGAGCAGCAGCUGCGCGCCCCGGCUGCUUAGGCCAGAAACUAGACGUCAGCCUUGGCUCCUCGCUUUUCUCCCCCAACCUGCAUCCAGUCCACCAGCUGAUUCUCUAGGCUCCAUCUUCGUUGUCUGUUUCUCACCAUCCCCACGGCUUCCAUCUUUGUCGAACCGCUGUAAUCUCUGGCCCUGAGGUUAUUGCAGUGGCCUGUGAACCUCUCCACCUCCCUUGCCACAUUCCCACUGCUGGUUCUCAAAACAGCAGUAGGAUUCAGCCUGUUUAGUCUCUAAGACCAGGGCUCUGCCGCUCUUCUGUAAGGAGCCAGAUCAUAGAUAUGUAGUUGGUGUGGUCUUUGUCGCUGAUGCUCAGCUCUGCCUGUGUAGGGUAAAGACGGCCGCAGAGAGUACCGAGGGAGUGGGCGUGGUUACGGCCGUGGAACCCUCAUUUGUGGAAACAGGCCAAGGGCCUUGCUUUGCAGGCCUCUUUCCUAGACCGCAACGCCCCAUUGCAUCUGGGUUUUCUGUUGCCUGGAACGCCUUUGUAGGGGAAGAGGGUGGUUGUGAAUUGAGCCUCUGGAGCACGUUUUCAAUAUUGCAGAGUGAGGCAGAUGAUGCAGAACCUUGGACGGUAACCACCUUGAAAUUUUGUGCUUAUUUCCACUCACAUUGUGGAGCAGUGAAGGGUUUUGCAUAGCUCCUACCCAAGUGCUCGUCGUAAGAACAGCAGGCGGUGGCGUGCAGCCUGGAUGGAGGAGGUAAAUGAUCUCCCUGACGCAUGCCAGUGAUGCUGAAAGUGUGGCUGCUAAUAGAGGAAAAAGAGGCUCUGAGUAUGUGAAGCUGCCGAGAGGGCAGAGACCACAGGUCUGGAGAAGGCGCAGAGGUUUAAAGCCGACCUGCCUGCAGGGAGGAGAGAGUGGCCCUGAGAGAGCAGAGGUGCCGGGAACGUGGGCUCCUCGGACGUGUUUGAGGAGCAGAGUUGCUUCCAGGGUCCCAGAAUGUGCUUCUAGGGAAGCAGGGAAGGGUCGGGGGCACUGGUUCCCUCAGGCAGGGGCGGGGGUAGGAGAAUGGAGGACUGUCACUUAAAAGGAACUUUGUGGAGCUCCUGUCCUGCCUCAGUGGUUAACGAACCCAACUAGCAUCCAUGAGGGUGCAGGUUCGAUCCCUGGCCUCGCUCCGUGGGUUAAGGAUCUGUGUUGCCGUGAGCUGUGGUGUAGGUCACAGAUGCAGCUCGGAUCUGGCGUGGCUGUGGCUGUGGCGCAGGCCGGUGGCUACAGCUCUGAUUCGACCCCUAGCCCGGGAACCUCCAUAUGCCGCGAGUGCGGCCCUAAGAGACAAAAAUAAAUAAAUAAACAAACAAAUAAAUAAAAGGAACUUUGUGAACCUUUGUGGCCUUCCACGAGACCGAGUGCCCUCAUGAAGGGCCGGGAAGAAAGCCAGCGGGCCGUGUCGGGCGAUCCGGGAGAAACAGAGACACAGUUAAACAGCCGGCAGGCAGGGAGUCGGGGUGGGAACGGGUGCCCUGUCCCUGGGAACAGGCGGUCGCAUUCGCCCGUUACCAGGUCCCUGACCCCUCACCUGUAGGAAGGAAGGUUCUGCAGGGUGACGUGGUGUCACGGCAGGGUCCGUAUUUCCGCUGAACUUGUGCCGGGGCGACACGGGAGGCUCUGUACUCGGAGAAGACGUCCUGGCCUGCAGCUUCAGCACGCAGUUUGCUGCGAGUGUCUUGCCUCCGGGAGCACUGUGGUCCCUGCUGUGGCUUCCUUCAGAGCCUCCGUGGGGGGCUGACUGUCUCUGUCCCCCGCGGGACGGUGCUUUGUCUGCACGGAGAGUCUUCUUCCCACCUCACUCCUCCCAGCCUCGUUCUCGGCACUAGGGGCGCGGGCACGGCCUUUGCGGAGCCGGGUUCUGGUCGGCUCCCUCAUGACCUCAUCUGUUUUCUCGUCCUUGUUGGUUCCAACGGCUGAGCCCUGACCUGGAGCCCAGCGUGUGCGUGCAUUGCUGCACUUCGGGAAAAAAAAGCCAGUGUGGACCCUCGAUCCUCGAUCGGGUGAUUCUUUGUUCAGUUAGGUCUGAAGUUGAGGGGCGUGCAGUUCCGCUGGCAGAGGCCCUUUGUGCUGGCCGUCCCCUUUUUCACAGUUUAGUCGCUGCCGAGCAAAAUCGUCGAACUCUCUGGGGAAUCCUGAUGAGCGUUUGAAGUGCAUGGUUAAACUGGUUAGCUCAUGUAACUAGAAUAGAUUCAAACUAAAUGGUGUUUGGCUCUCCUCGGAGCAGGUUUGAACCAACUGAUACAAACUUGCACUGGAUUCCCAUUGACGAUUGCCAGUGGUGUGAACUUCAUCAUUUGAAACUUGAAACAUACGUGUUUCUAGACGUGUCGAUUUGUAAAUGGCUGUAAGGAGGGCUCACAAGGCUGUAAUUCACUCCUGUAGUGAACAUUUCUCGAGCAUCGCUGUGACUGUGGUGCUGCGGCAUGUGUUGGAUCACAACCAUGAAGCGAAGAGGCGGGGAGCUUGUGUUGUGGUUGAGGUUACAGAUGAGUGAAAAGGCAACCACAGCGUACGUGUACUAAGUCACACAUGCCUACUGGGGAAAAGCGGAUCUGCACGGUUCAAACGCUUGUUGCUCAAGGGUCCGCUGUGCUCUGUGGGGGACAUUCAGGGUGCCUGGGAGCACCGAAGAGGGACAGCUGGAAGCUUCCCAGAGGAAAUGAGUCUAGGUCUGAAGGACGCGCGGUGACUAAAUACAAGGGGAGAAUGGAGGGAGAGCGUGGUGGACGGGGGACGGCACGUGCCGAGACUCGGAGGGAGAGUCAGAGGGCAGGACGAGGAGCGACUGGAGCCUGCCUUCCCAGGGACCGGGGCCACUCAGCUUGUCCUGGCGGGCGUCCCACCUUCCUGCCUUGUUCGGUGUACACUGUUUCAGAGGGGGUCCCACGGAGUCCUGUCUCUCCACUCCGGAGACACACUCAGCUCUGAUGGAGAGCGCCCAAGACUAAUUUUUUUUUUCCUUUUUACAGCUGCACCCGCUACAUACGGAAGUUCCUGGGCCCCGGGGUCAAAUCAGAGCUGCACUGGGCCCUACGCCACAGCCACAGCAACACUGGAUCUGAGCCACAUCUGCGACCUACACCGCAGCUUAGGCAACGCUGGAUCCUUAACCCAACUGGGCGGGGCCAGGGAUUGAACCCGCAUCCGCACAGAAGCAAUGUUGGGUUCCUAACCCGCUGAGCCACAUGGGAACGCCGAGCCUCUAAUCUGAAAACAGGAGCAGUUGAGAAAAGGUUGGCAAACAGAGGAGGAGAUGUCGCUCAUCAGAGAGGGUUCAAGCGGGCCCUUGGCCGGACCGCCCCCAGCAAAGCGGUUGAAGCGAUUGGUCUGCUUUUCAAGGUCAUUUAUUUUGAAAUUGUUCAGAAUUUACAGGAAGGUUGCCAGAACAGAGCAGAGAACUCUGCUGCUCUUUUCACCCCGUCCACGAGUUGAGAUGUUUGCGCUCAUUUCCCAAUGGGUAUGCUCGUGCAUGCACACUCACACGCGCGCGCUCGCACACUCUUUCCCCUCUGGGCUCCAGAGUGCACUUCCCCAGAUCUGGGCGCUUCAGCAGAACCGCAGGUCUCUGGGUCCGGGUGAGACGCGGGGCCCGGAGGCCCGUCCCACGGGCUCCGUCAGGCCCGUCCGAGCCUUUCCCUUUCUGGUCCAAGGUCCUGUUAGGA